rnacentral:rRNA from 1 species
GCUUACGGCCACACGGCCUGAGUACUCGUCCGAUCUCGGAAGCUAAGCAGGGUCGGGCCUGGUUAGUACUUGGAUGGGAGACCGCCUGGGAAUACCAGGUGCUGUAAGCU